UAUUGCAUCUUAGCCUAUGUGCUCUGACAUUGCUCAUCCAUAUAUUUAUAUAUUCUUGUUCCUUUCCUUUACUUAGACUUGUGUGUAUUAGGUAUUUGUUGUGGAAUUGUUAGAUAUUGCUGCACUGUCGGAACUAGAAGCACAAGCAUUUCGCUACACUUGCAAUAACAUCAGCUAACCAUGUGUAUGUGACCAAUACAUUUGAUUUGAUUUGAGCGCACACACACACAGACACUCGGUGGGGGGAAUGCUUUAAUAAACCCACAGUAACAUUUCUACGGGGCAUCUCGAGACCAAGCCAGGAAAAAGAUGAGUGUACCUGCCCUGGGGCAAGGGGGGGGGGGAGAAGGGAAAGACAGAAAGAGAAGGAUAAAGAGAAAUGGAGAGAGAGAAGAGUAUCUUACAAUCAGUGAAGCCAAGGGCACUCUCCUUCUGUUCACUCUCUCUCUCUGUCACUCUCCCUCUCUCUCAUCACUCUCUCCAUCAUUUUCUCUCCCUCUCUCUCACUCUCUCAAAUUUAAAAUUCAAGCUGCUUUAUUGGCAUGACAAAACAUUAUAUCAAUAUUGCAUUGUAUAUACAUUGUAAUAAAAUAAUGGAGAAUAAACAAUAAUGAAAUUAAAUGGUAGCAAAUAAUAAUACAAAUCUCUCUCUCCAUCACUCUUUCUCUAAAUAAAUAAAUACAGGUUGUAUUUACAAUGGUGUUUGUGCUUCACUGGUUGCCCCUUUCUUGUGGUAACAGGUCACAAAUCUUGCUGCUGUGAUGGCACACUGUGGUACUUCACGGAGUUUAUCAAAAUUGGUUUUGUUUUCAAAUUGUUUGUGAGUCUGUAUAAUCUGAUGGAAAAAUGUGUCACUAAUAUGGUCAUAUAUUUGGCAGGAGGUUAGGAAGUGCUACUCAGUUUCCACCUCAUUUUGUGGGCAGUGAGCACAAAGCCUGUCUUCUCUUGAAAGCCAGGUCCGGCUUCGGCGGCAUUUCUCAAUAGCAAGGCUAUGCUCACUGAGUCUGUACAUAGUCAAAGCUUUCCUUAAUUGUUGGUCACAGUGGUCAGGUAUUCUGUCACUGUGUACAUUCUAGUAUUCUAGUUUGCUCAGUAUUUUUGUUAAUUCUUUCCAAUGUGUCAAGUAAUUCUCUUUUUGUCUUCUCAUGAUUUGGUUAGGUCUAAUUGUGUUGCUGUCUUGCUGCUCUGUGGAGUCUGUUUGUGUUUGUGAAUAGAGCCACAGGACCAGCUUGCUUAGGGGACUCUUCUCCAGGUUCAUCUCUCUGUAGGUGACCGCUUUGUUAUGGAAGGCUUGGGAAUCACUUCCUUUUAGGUGGUUGUAGAAUUUAAUAACGGCUCUUUUCUGGAUUUUGAUCAGGAGCGGGUAUCGUCCUAAUUCUGCUCUGCAUGCAUUAUUUGGUGUUUUAUGUUGUACACAGAGGAUAUUUUUUGCAGAAUUCUGCAUGCAGAGUCUCAAUUUGAUGUUUGUCCCAUUUUGUGAAUUCUCGGUUUGUGAGCGGACCCCAGACCUCACAAACAUAAAGUUUAAUGGGUUCUAUAACUGAUUGAAGUAUUUUUUAGCCAGAUCCUAAUUGGUAUGUCAAAUUUUAUGUUCCUUUUGAUGGCACAGAAGGCCAUUCUUGCCUUGUCUCUCAGAUCUUUCACAGCUUUGUGGAAGUGACCUGUGGCGCUGAUGUUUAGGAAGAGGUAUGUCUACUUGUUUGUGUGCUCUAGGGCAAUGGUGCCUAGAUGGAAUUUGUAUUUGUGGUCCUGGCAACUGGAUCUUUUUUGGAACACCAAGGUCUGACAGAAUCUGUGCAGAAGAUCUAGGUGCUAAUGUAGGCCUCUCUUGUUUGGGGACGGAAGCACCAGAUCAUCAGCAAACAGUAGACAGGUUCUAGUAGGGUGAGGCAGACAGUUCUAGUUCCCUUGCCAAUUCAUUGAUAUUGAAGAGGGUGGGGCUUAAGCUGCAUCCCUGUCUCACCCCCCGGCCAUGUGGAAAGAAAUGUGUGUGUUUUUUGCCAAUUUUAACCACACACUUGUUGUUUGUGUACAUGGAUUUUAUAAUGUCGUAUGUGUUUCCCCCAACACCACUUUCCAUCAAUUUGUAUAGCAGACCCUCUUGCCAAAUUGAGUCAAAAGCUUUUUGAAAUCAGCAAAGCAUGAGAAGACUUUUCCUUUGUUUUGGUUUGUUUGUCAAUUAGGGUGUACAGGGUGAAUACAUGGUCUGUCAUAUAGUAAUUUGGUAAAAAUCCAAUUUGACAUUUGUUCAGUACAUUGUUUUCGCUGAGAAAAUGUAUGAGUCUGCUGUCAAUAUUAAUACAGAGGAAUUUCCCAAGGUUGCUGUUGACGCAUAUCCCACAGUAGUUAUUGGGGUCAAAUUUGUCUCCACUUUUGUCUUUUUUUGGUUGGAUAGGUUUCACAAUUUCUUUCUAGGUUAAUGCAUUCUUCAUCAAACCAUUCUUCAUCAAACCAUUUAUCAUUGUUGUUCAUUUUCUUAGGUUGUCUUUUUGACAGUUUUAGAUUUGAUAGGGAAGCUGAGAAGUCAAAUAUAAAAGUUUAGUCUUAUGGCUUUGGGGUAGAAGCUGUUUCGAAGCAUUUUGGACGUAGACUUGGCGCUCCGGUACCGCUUGUCAUGCGGUAGCAGAGAGAACAGUCAAUAACUAGGGUGGCUGGAGUCUUUGACAAUUUUUAGGGCCUUCCUCUGACACCGCCUGGUAUAGAGGUCCAGGAGGGCCUGGAUGGCAGGAAGCUUGGCCCCGGUGAUGUACUGGGCCGUACGCACUACCCUCUGUAGUGCCUUGCGGUUGGAAGCCGAGCAGUUGCCAAGCCAGGCAGUGAUGCAACCCGGCAGGAUGCUCUCGGUGGUGCAGCUGUAAAACCUUUUGAGGAUCUGAAGACCCAUGUCAAAUCUUUUCAGUCUCCUGAGGGGGAAUAGGUUUUGAUGUGCCCUCUUCACGACUGUCUUGGUGUUCUUGGACCAUGUUAGUUUGUUUGUGAUGUGGACGCCAAGGAACUUGAAGCUCUCAAUCUGCUCCACUACAGCCCCGUUGAUGAGAAUGGGGGCGUGCUCGGUCCUCCUUACCCUGUAGUCCACAAUCACCUCUUUUGUCUUGAUCACGUUGAGGGAGAGGUUAUUGUCCUUGCACUACACGGUCACGCUCUGACCUCCUCCCUAUAGGUUGUCUCAUCAUUGUCGGUGGUCAGGCCUACCACUGUUGUGUCACUCUCUCUCUCCAUCACUCACUCACUCUCUCUCCAUCACUCUCUCUCUCUCUUUUUCCAUCACUCUAUCUCUCUCCAUCAAUCACUCUCUCUCCAUCACUCUCUCUCCAUCACUCAGUCUCUUUCUCUAUCAUUUAUUUCUCUCUCCAUUAUUGUCUCUCCAUCACUCCCUCUCUCCAUCUCUCUCUCCAUCACUCACUCUCUCCAUCACUCUCUCUCUCAAUCACUCUCUCUCCCUCCAUCUCUCUCUCUCUCUCUCAUCUCUCUCUCUCCAUCUCUCUCUCACUAUCUCUCUCUCUCUCAUCUCUCUCUCUCCAUCUCUCUCUCUCUUUCUCUCUCUCUCUCUCUUUCUCAUCUCUCUCUCUCCAUCUUUCUCUCCAUCUCUCCUUCUGUCAUUCCCUCCUUCCAUUAGCCAGGCAGAGCCAUGACAAUAACCACUGAUAUAUAGUGAGUAGAAAAGAACCAAUCACUUUAAUAACAUUUCAUGCUAUCUCUGCUUCCACAGACCCACACACACACCACACACACACAGGGAUAGACAGGCACACACACACACACAGACAGAGAGACAGACAGACAGACACACAGACAGACAGACACACACGGCGCCUGGACAUAUUGUGAGUAGAAAAGACCCAAUCACUUUAAUAACAUUUCAUGCUAUCUCUGCUUUCACAGACCCACACACAAAGACACAAACACACAAACACACACACAGACAGACAGGCAGACAGGCAGGCAGGCAGGCAGACAGACAGACACUGUGCCUGGAAUCUGUCCUUCACCAGCGGAGAACACAGGCUGUCAUUUCAGACCAAACAAUGGAAAUGCAGAGUGCAACCAAUCCGAUUGGAUAAACUGUGGAAUAAUGUAAUUGUGGAGGACAGAGAGGCAGAGAGGGGUAGAUAUGAUGAUGACUCAAUAUGCAGAGAGAGUUGAUAUGGAGAUGACUUACUAUGCACAGAGGCGUAUCAGACUGGCCCUCCUCAAAAAUAUGUAUUUAUAAAGUGUGUGUGUGAAGCUUGAGUGUGUCUCAAAUCUGACUAAUGUGUCAGAACAGACCCAUCUGUUCACCACUCACCCCAGGGUGUGUGUGUGUGUGUGUGUGUGUGUGUGUGUGUGUGUGUGUGUGUGUGUGUGUGUGUGUGUGUGUGUGUCUGACGUAGAACAUGUCAGUGAGUGCACUUUGAGAGGAGAUGGGGUGACUAUUCUAUUGAAAAACUACAAUCCCACAAACAUUUUCCACAGGGAAAAAAUAUUUAUCAAUAUGCGAUUUCCAAACUGGUGGACCUUUAUCAUGGUAGCUGGUGGUAAUGGGAAUACUCUGGGAUGCAGCAAAGUGAAUGGCAUAAAUAACCAUACAGUUGUGAGGGAAACCAAGUCAACAGGUUAACAACAUGUACAUUGAACAUAACACUGUGGCUUAAACAAUAGUAGAAAUCAGUGCUACUCUGAAUGUGACAAAACAAUAGUCUAAUGUGAACUCUACUGAGAUAGAAAGAGGGAGAGAGGAAGGGAGAUAGAGGAGGGGGGGUCAAGGGAGGAAAUCUAGGGAACUCACAAAGAUAGUGGAACAUCAUAGUCUCCACAAUAACUAAGUGUCGUGUCUGACAGCGACUGGGUAUACAGUGGCUUGCGAAAGUACUUGGCAUUUCUUCCUAAACUCAGCAAAAAAAGAAAUGUCCUCUCACUGUCAACUGCGUUUAUUUACAGCACACUUAACAUGUGUAAAUGUUUGUAUGAACAUAACAAGAUUCAACAUCUAAGAAAUAAACUGAACAAGUUCCACAGACAUGUUGUUACGCCCUGACCUUAGAGAUCCUUUUUAUUCUCUCAUUUGGUUAGGUCAGGGUGUGACUUGGGUGGGCAAUCUAUGUGUUCUAUUUCUUUGUUGGCCGGGUGUGGUUCCCAAUCAGAGGCAGCUGUCUAUCGUUGUCUCUGAUUGGGGAUCAUACUAAGGCAGCCUGUUUGCCACCUGAGUUUGUGGGAUCUUGGUUUUGUAAGUUGCUGUAUAGCCUGCAGAACUUUAUGGCCGUUUAGUAUUUUGGUGUUCAUUGUAAAUAAAAGUAAGAUGUUCACCUACCACGCUGCACCUUGGUCUAAUUCCGUCAAUGAACGUAACACAUGUGACUAACAGAAAUGGAACAAUGUGUUCCUGAACAAAGGGGGGACAAAAUCAAAAGUAACCGUCAGUAUCUGAUGUGGCAACCAGCUGCAUUAAGUACUGCAGUGCAUCUCCUCCUCAUGGACUGCACCAGAUUUGCCAGUUCUUGCUGUAAGAUGUUACCCCACACUUCCACCAAGGCACUUGCAAGUUCCCAGACAUUUCUGGGGGGAAUGGCCCUAGCCCACGAGCAGUAUUGCUGGUGGCAUUGUCAUGCUGGAGGGUCAUGUCAGGAUGAGCCUGCAGAAAGGGUACCACAUGAGGGAGGAGGAUGUCUUCCCUGUAACGCACAGCGUUGAGAUUGCCUGCAAUGACAACAAGCUCAGUCCAAUGAUACUGUGACACAGCGUCCCAGACCAUGACAGACCCUCCACCUUUAAAUUGAUCCCGCUCCAGAGUACAGGCCUCGGUGUGGUGUAACGCUCAUUCCUUCAGUGAUAAACGCGAAUACGACCAUCACCCCUGGUGAGACAAAACUGCAACUUGUCAGUGAAGAGCACUUUUUGCCUGUCCUGUCUGGUCCAGCGACGGUGGGUUUGUGACCAUAGGCGAUGUUGUUGCCGGUGAUGUCUGGUGAGGACCUGCCUUACA
ensembl:lncRNA